UUGGAGGGCAAGUCUGGUGCCAGCAGCCGCGGUAAUUCCAGCUCCAAUAGCGUAUAUUAAAGUUGUUGCAGUUAAAAAGCUCGUAGUUGAAUUUCAGGCCUGGCUGGGCGGUCCGCCCUUCGGGUGAGUACUGUCUGUGGUCGGGUCCUACCUUCUGGCGAAGCGUCAUGGCCUUAACCGGCCGUGGCGGGGAACCAGGACUUUUACUGUGAAAAAAUUAGAGUGUUCAAAGCAGGCAAUCGCUUGGAUACAUUAGCAUGGAAUAAUGGAAUAGGACAAUGGUUCUAUUUGUUGGUUUCUAGGACCGUUGUAAUGAUUAAUAGGGAUAGUUGGGGGCAUUAGUAUUCAAUUGUCAGAGGUGAAAUUCCUGGAUUUAUUGAAGACUAACUACUGCGAAAGCAUUUGCCAAGGAUGUUUUCAUUAAUCAAGAACGAAAGUUAGGGGAUCGAAGACGAUCAGAUACCGUCGUAGUCUUAACCAUAAACUAUGCCGACUAGGAAUCGGGCGAUGUUGAAAAAAUGACGCGCUCGGCACCUUAUGGGAAACCAAAG
rnacentral:rRNA from 1 species